rnacentral:tRNA from 1 species
UGUAAAAUAAGCUAAAAAAGCUAUUGGGUUCAUACCCCAGAAAUGAGGAUUUUUACUCUUUUACAA